rfam:Sus scrofa chromosome 5.
UCGCUGGUGGUCUAGUGGUUAUGAUUCAGCACUUUCACUGCUGCAGCCUGGGUUCAAUCCCUGGUCUGGGAA